rnacentral:rRNA from 1 species
AACGAACGCUGGCGGCAGGCCUAACACAUGCAAGUCGAGCGAGGACUUCGGUUCUAGCGGCGGACGGGUGAGUAACGCGUGGGAAUGUGCCCUUCUCUACGGAAUAGCCCUGGGAAACUGGGAGUAAUACCGUAUACGCCCUAUUGGGGAAAGAUUUAUCGGAGAAGGAUCAGCCCGCGUUGGAUUAGGUAGUUGGUGGGGUAAUGGCCUACCAAGCCGACGAUCCAUAGCUGGUUUGAGAGGAUGAUCAGCCACACUGGGACUGAGACACGGCCCAGACUCCUACGGGAGGCAGCAGUGGGUAAUCUUAGACGAUGGGGGCAACCCUGAUCUAGCCAUGCCGCGUGAGUGAUGAAGGCCUUAGGGUUGUAAAGCUCUUUCAGCUGGGAAGAUAAUGACGGUACCAGCAGAAGAAGCCCCGGCUAACUCCGUG